rnacentral:rRNA from 1 species
UGGGGAAUAUUGCACAAUGGGCGAAAGCCUGAUGCAGCAACGCCGCGUGAGUGAUGAAGGCCUUCGGGUUGUAAAGCUCUGUCUUUUGGGACGAUAAUGACGGUACCAAAGGAGGAAGCCACGGCUAACUACGUGCCAGCAGCCGCGGUAAUACGUAGGUGGCAAGCGUUGUCCGGAUUUACUGGGCGUAAAGGAUGCGUAGGCGGAUUUUUAAGUGAGAUGUGAAAUACCCGGGCUUAACUUGGGUGCUGCAUUUCAAACUGGGAAUCUAGAGUGCGGGAGAGGAGAAUGGAAUUCCUAGUGUAGCGGUGAAAUGCGUAGAGAUUAGGAAGAACACCAGUGGCGAAGGCGAUUCUCUGGACCGUAACUGACGCUGAGGCAUGAAAGCGUGGGUAGCAAACAGGAUUAGAUACCCUGGUAGUCCACGCCGUAAACGAUGAGUACUAGGUGUAGGAGGUAUCGACCCCUUCUGUGCCGCAGUUAACACAAUCAAGUACUCCGCCUGGGAAGUACGAUCGCAAGAUUAAAAACUCAAAGGAAUUGACGGGGAUC